rnacentral:lncRNA from 1 species
GCAGUCUUGUAAUUGACUGCUCCAUAGGCUUACAUGCUAAACAGCUGAUCUUUGAAAAUAAAAAAAUAAAAAAUGUUACAUAGAAAAAAAUUUCAUGUUCAUAUCAUGUAUGUACUAAUGUGAAAUUGUGAUUUAAUCGGAAAAAAGUGGGUCAUGCCACGAAGAAUAAAAAGUUACGUAACCCUGAAGUCAAAAUAUUUUUUUUUCUACUUUCUCUUUGCUGUUUUUACUAGGCCACAC